rnacentral:rRNA from 1 species
UAGAGCAAAUCUCAAAAAAACAAUCUCAGUUCAGACUGCAGGCUGCAACUCGACUGCACGAAGUCGGAAUUGCUAGUAAUCGUAGGUCAGCAUACUACGGUGAAUACGUUCCCGGGCCUUGUACACACCGCCCGUCAAACCAUGAGAGUUGGCAACACCCGAAGUCGGUAGUCUAACCGCAAGGAGGACGCCGCCGAAGGUGGGGUUGAUGAUUAGGGUUAAGUCGUAACAAGGUAAC